UAAAUAUCAUCUUUCAAUAAAGAAAGAAAUCAAGAACUCCCUUCAUACGGAUCUUAAAAAUGGCAUUGCCAAACCAAAUAGCUCCACCUUGAGUGGUGUUCAUCUAUAAUUCUUGAUUCAUCUUCAAUCCUACUGAAAGUCUAAAACCCUAAAAUCCGUAUUCAUGUAUAUGUACAUCAAUAUGUAGGUUUUGAAGAGGGGUUUUCGCAUUCAUGGUCAGCCAAGGGUUAGGAUGAAGAUGCAGUGAGAUGAUGACACAUAUAAAGGUCUCUAUUCCGUUGUAUAAUGUAUUCAGUCCUGUUUUUUGUUGAUUUCAAGUGUUCAUAUUUCUUUUAGUCAGACAUGCUUUCUCUUGUAAAAAUAAUGCUUGGAGAUGCUCAGGAUCUAUCAUUGAGAAGUAAAAUCUCUCAGCCUUAAUAUGUGUAUUUAGAGUUUGGAUCGGAUAAUUAAUUAGAUUUGGGCAGACUACUCUUGAUUGUCGAUGAGACCUUGUCAAAUUCUUUUGGAAGGCCUCAGAAACCGUUGUUGAUUUGCUCCAGAUGCCUUAGUUGAAGGAAAAAUGAAAUGACAAAAAUGCCCUUGGCAGCUUUAACAGAUAUGGAUGGAGGUACUGUUGAAGCAGCAGGGUGUGUGGGGAUUCAUUCAUACAUCCACUUGUACGGUUUUGUUGUAGGUAUCUCCACAACAACAAGUUGACGGGAUCCAUUCCUCCAGAGCUCGGGAACAUGUCAAAGCUCCAUUACUUGGAACUGAACGAUAAUCAGCUCACUGGUCAUAUUCCACCUGAACUCGGAAAGCUUACCGACUUGUUUGACAUUAAUAUUGCGGGAAAUAAACUUGAGGGACACAUACAUGAUAAUCUUAGCUCAUGCACUAAUCUCAACAGCCUCAACGUGCAUGGAAACAAGUUAAAGGGUACGAUCCCUGCUCAACUUCAGAGGCUAGAAAGCAUGACAUACUUGUAAGUACCCCAUUCUCGAUCGCAUUUAUGAUGCUCAAAAACAUGUUUACGAAAUUUAUGUUUUUUAUACGAUUGGGAAUCUUUCGUCAAACAACAUUGUGGGUCCUAUUCCGAUUGAGUUGUCUCGGAUUGGUAACUUGGAUACAUUGUAAGUUGUUCUAAACUGUUGAUGACUUUAACGUAAUCGAACUAUCGGUUGUGAUAACUGUUUGUUUGUUUUAUUUAAAUAGGGACCUUUCAAACAACAAAAUUAGCAGGCUGAUCCCUUCUUCGCUUUUCAUCGCUUGCGCUUUCAUAUAAGUCAUAGUAAAUACCGUUACAGUUAGUACUCUAUUAAGCUUUUGAUUAUAUGAUAUUGGUAGACCAGUAAGAAAAUAUUAUGUAAAUUUUCUUAACUUAUAAACAAGUAAUAUGUAAUUACAAUAUAUUUUUUGGAACAAUUGGGUGUGUUUUCCUUUAUCCUCCAGGUAGGGGUUGGUUUGGGGAUUGGGGGAGGGUCUGUUUGGCUAUGGUUAUAGGUUUGUAUGGUUAGGAUUAUGUUGUAUCCGUGGCACAUGGGGGGCAAUCUGAUCCACACAGUUCGUUUUCUGUAGUUGACCGUGGAACAUUCAAGCCGUGUGCUUUACAGAUUUGUGUUGAUAUUUUAUAGAACUUCAAGUCUAAAAUUUGUGUCUGUGAAUAGAGGUGGCAAGCCGACCAAUUUUUAGUCUUAUUAGGAGGCUGCAUGCUUUCAAAGUAGACCAUGGGCAGCUUUCGCCUGCUUGACCCAUUUCUGUUCAUGCUAAAAAAAAUUACUUGACCCGUUUGAGAUGAAAUGCUUUGUUUUCUUAUUCGGGACUUCAUCCUAGAAGUUGUAUAUUUGGGUUACCUAUACCCUGUACCAUAUGUUUUACAGUAUGUUUUACCAUAAUACCAUCUAACUUGAAGUGCAAGUGCAUUGCAUCUGUAAGUUUUCAGGUAUUCUGAAUUUGUUUUAAAAGCCUCUCCUGUGGCAUGACCUAUAUCUGGCACAUUUAUAACUAGGGAUGAGCACGGUACCCGUACCGGUACCGAAAAAUGGGGAAAAUGGGAACCGGUCCCGAAUAUACCCGGUACGGUUCGGUACCGGUACCCAGUACCAAAUGCUCAUCUCUAUUUAGAACUUUAUAUGUUAAAUUCAUUCCUACACAAUUGCAGGUGGUUCUGUAUUAGAAUACAUGCAAAGGUCUCUUGUUCAAUUUAAAACAAUACUAGCUAAUUUUGUAAUCAGGUCCUCUGGCCUUGGUGGUAAAUGAUUCAUACUGAUUAUGUCCCUCAAAAUAUGAAUUUUUCUUUAUUGGUAAAUUUUGUUUUCUUUUGCAAUUUUUCAAUUUGGCCGAAAUACAAGUUGGUCCGAACCUUUUGGGUGUUUAAGUGUUUGAUAAGUAGUUAAAGGCUUUUUGUAUCAAUAUGAUGUUUCUGUAUUUAGUAUAGCUAAUAUUUUUUUAAUGAUUUGAUUCGUAGUUGGCUGAUGCGUAUCAUGUUCCCGCCAUGUAUCAAUUUAAACUUCUGAUUCAUCAGUGAAUAUAAAAACAUUAAUAUGACCGGGUGAAUCUAAAAGCUACGUGCAGUUAGAUAGAUAGGAGUUAAAGAGAAGAAGUGAUGUACUGAAAUGUAAUUUUGCCAUAUGUAUCAAUUUUAAAGCAACAUGUACAAGGUGCUUAAAGCCAUUGUUCUCCAAAAUUUUAAGACAUUGUAGGGUUAAUCUUGGGAUUUCACAUGGUAUUCUAAAAGAACCCUAAUAAAAGCGUGGAAUAAUUUGACGAUCAAACUGGCGUCUCUUGAUUUCCCCUGAAUUGAAUUGGUGAUUCGUCGCUUCACAGUUUAUCGCUUCACUAAUUAAUGCUUUCAUCGCCAUCUCCUCCUUCCAUUCCAAUUUAAAACUCCUGAUGAUGUUUGAAGCCGAGAAGAAACAAGAAACGGGGACGACGAUGAUGAUGUGCACUCGGUUAUUCUGCACAUGAUUACUGGAAGAAGGUGAGAUUGUUUUGGAUGUGGAGGUUGUUGGUAAACAAGGGGCAGGGGGUGAUGUUGAGAAGUGGAUUGAUGUGAUUCGGAUCAGGUUAGAGGGUAUAACGGUUAAUGAUGUGAAUAAGUAAGAUAUAUAAUGACUGAUUUGAUUAAUGAGGUUUUUGAUUGUUUGGUUUAACGGGUUGAUAUUUAGAUUGUAGAUCGUUUAAUGGAGUCUGUUCUAGGCUCGAGGAUAUGCUGGAUACUUUGUCGACAUUGCUUUCGGAAAAUUCUGUGUUGAAAGUUGGCAUUUGCUGCUAUUCAGUUAGUUAAUUCGGUAUUUUGUCAUGUAACUUGAAUGAUGUUUGUUCAAGUAAUAGCGUAUUGGCAGAGGGAGUACGCGAUGGAAGAUAUACUGACACAACUGAAGAAAGAAAUGUCGGCCCCACACAACCGGAAGUUUGUUCAGCCACCAGAAGGUUGAUGUGUCUGUUUUCAAGCAGCCACAAUGCAAAAGUGAAAUUUCAACUUCAGAAGUGUUCACCAACCUGGAUUCUUCACUGGGGUUGCAUCUAUAAUGGAAACAAUGUUAGUGGUCGCUGGCAGUAGUGUUGGGGCAGUGUCAAGGGGAUUUAGGGGGUGAUGAUUGUGGGAAGUGUGUGAAAAGUGCAGUGCAGAGGGCUGAAGUGGAGUGUGGGGGUUCAACUUCAUCUUCAUCUUCAUCAGAUUCUUCGUAUUCUUCAUCGUCAGAUUCUUCGUAUUAUUCACCAUCUUCUUCUUCAUCAGGAACAGAUUCAAAUACAGGGAAGACAGUGGCAAUUAUCUUGGGAAGGGCAGCAGGAGUUGGAUUUUUAGUAAUAUUUGUAUUAUUUGCUAAAAAUGCAGCAAAGAAACAUGAUGUUGGCAAACCCAGGUUUGUGGUCUGAUGGAGUGUUGGUCUAGAAGUGUUCUGUCUUGGCACUGGACGAGGGAGGCGAGGCUACUAAAUGAUUCACUGACUUCCAAUUAUAGAUGUAGCUUGGUUUGUAAAGAGUACUUGAUGUUCACUUGGUCUCAGUGACGUGUAUAGUGUACAUAUUCAAAGGAAGCUUAAAUAUCAUUGAGUAUCAUUGGUUUAUAGGUGAAACUAGAUGAGAAAUACUCAAUUUGUUGCGACUUUUUAAUCAUCUUUGUUAUUUUAUACCUAACAAGGCUUAUAGAA